rnacentral:rRNA from 1 species
UACGUAGGGUGCAGGCGUUAAUCGGAAUUACUGGGCGUAAAGCGUGCGCAGGCGGUUUCUUAAGUCAGAUGUGAAAGCCCCGGGCUUAACCUGGGAAUGGCAAUGGAAACUGGCGGGCUAGAGUGUGGCAGAGGGGGGUGGAAUUCCGCGUGUAGCAGUGAAAUGCGUAGAGAUGCGGAGGAACACCGGUGGCGAAGGCGGAUCUCUGGGCCUUACCUGACGCUGAGGCGCGAAAGCUAGGGGAGCGAACAGG